CCUACGGGAGGCAGCAGUAGGGAAUAUUGCUCAAUGGGGGAAACCCUGAAGCAGCAACGCCGCGUGGAGGAUGAAGGUUUUCGGAUUGUAAACUCCUUUUGUUAGAGAAGAUAAUGACGGUAUCUAACGAAUAAGCACCGGCUAACUCCGUGCCAGUAGCCGCGGUAAUACGGAGGGUGCAAGCGUUACUCGGAAUCACUGGGCGUAAAGAGCGCGUAGGCGGGAUAGCAAGUCAGAUGUGAAAUCCUAGGGCUUAACCAUAGAACUGCAUUUGAAACUGUUAUUCUAGAGUAUGGGAGAGGUAGGUGGAAUUCUUGGUGUAGGGGUAAAAUCCGUAGAGAUCAAGAGGAAUACUCAUGGCGAAGGCGACCUGCUAGAACAUAACUGACGCUGAUGCGCGAAAGCGUGGGGAGCAAACAGGAUUAGAUACCCGUGUAGUC
rnacentral:rRNA from 1 species